ACGAAGGUGGCAAGCGUUGUUCGGAUUUACUGGGCGUACAGGGAGCGUAGGCGGUUCGGUAAGCCCUCUGUGAAAUCUCCAGGCUUAACCUGGAACAGUCGGAGGGGACUGCCGGGCUAGAGGACGGGAGAGGGACGCAGAAUUCCAGGUGUAGCGGUGAAAUGCGUAGAUAUCUGGAGGAAUACCGGUGGCGAAGGCGGCAUCCUGGACCGACAUUGAUGCUGAGGAGCGAAAGCUAGGGGAGCAAACGGGA
rnacentral:rRNA from 1 species